rnacentral:rRNA from 1 species
GACGAACGCUGGCGGCGUGCUUAACACAUGCAAGUCGAACGGAAAGGCCCUGCUUUUGUGGGGUGCUCGAGUGGCGAACGGGUGAGUACACGUGAGUAACCUGCCCUUGACUUUGGGGUAACUUCAGGAAACUGGGGCUAAUACCGGAUAGGAGCUCCUGCUGCCUGGUGGGGGUUGGGAAGUUUCGGCGGUUGGGGAUGGACUCGCGGCUUAUCAGCUUGUUGGUGGGGUAGUGGCUUACCAAGGCUUUGACGGGUAGCCGGCCUGAGAGGGUGACCGGCCACAUUGGGACUGAGAUACGGCCCAGACUCCUACGGGAGGCAGCAGUGGGGAAUAUUGCACAAUGGGCGGAAGCCUGAUGCAGCAACGCCGCGUGCGGGAUGACGGCCUUCGGGUUGUAAACCGCUUUCGCCUGUGACGAAGCGUGAGUGACGGUAAUGGGUAAAGAAGCACCGGCUAACUACGUG